rnacentral:rRNA from 1 species
CUACGGGGGGCUGCAGUGGGGAAUAUUGCACAAUGGGCGCAAGCCUGAUGCAGCCAUGCCGCGUGUAUGAAGAAGGCCUUCGGGUUGUAAAGUACUUUCAGCGGGGAGGAAGGGAGUAAAGUUAAUACCUUUGCUCAUUGACGUUACCCGCAGAAGAAGCACCGGCUAACUCCGUGCCAGCAGCCGCGGUAAUACGGAGGGUGCAAGCGUUAAUCGGAAUUACUGGGCGUAAAGCGCACGCAGGCGGUUUGUUAAGUCAGAUGUGAAAUCCCCGGGCUCAACCUGGGAACUGCAUCGGAUACUGGCAAGCUUGAGUCUCGUAGAGGGGGGUAGAAUUCCAGGUGUAGCGGUGAAAUGCGUAGAGAUCUGGAGGAAUACCGGUGGCGAAGGCGGCCCCCUGGACGAAGACUGACGCUCAGGUGCGAAAGCGUGGGGAGCAAACAGGAUUAGAUACCCGUGUAGUC